UUGAUCCUGGGUCAGGAUGAACGCUGGCGGCGUGCCUAAUACAUGCAAGUCGAACGAGGCCCUUUGUAUUCGUAUGAAGGUGUCCUAGUGGCGAACGGGUGAGUAUCGCGUUGGUGACCUGCCCCGAAGAGGGGGAUAACAGUUCGAAAGAAUUGCUAAUACCCCAUGUUGUUAUUUUGAUUAGAUGCUAAAUAACUAAAGGAGUAAUCCGCUUCGGGAGGGGCCUGCGUCCCAUCAGCUUGUUGGUGAGGUAAUGGCUCACCAAGGCUUAGACGGGUAGGGGACCUGAGAGGGUGACCCCCCACAAUGGAACUGAAACGCGGUCCAUACACCUACGGGUGGCAGCAGUAGGGAAUAUUGCUUAAUGGGCGAAAGCCUGAAGCAGCAACGCCGCGUGUGCGAUGAAGGCCUUCGGGUKGUAAAGCACUUUUUGAGGGGAAGAGGAAGGACGGUACCCUCAGAAUAAGCCUCGGCUAACUACGUGCCAGCAGCCGCGGUAAAACGUAGGAGGCAAGCGUUAUCCGGAUUUACCUGGGCGUAAAGCGCGUGCAGGCGGUACGGUAAGUUGGAUGUGAAAGCUCCUGGCUUAACUAGGAGAGGUCGUUCAAUACUGCCGUACUUGAGGAUAGGAAGGGGAGGUGGAAUUCCGGGUGUAGUGGUGAAAUGCGUAGAUAUCCGGAGGAACACCAGUGGCGAAGGCGGCCUCCUGGCCUAUUUCUGACGCUCAGACGCGAAAGCUAGGGGAGCGAACGGGAUUAGAGACCCCGGUAGUCCUAGCUGUAAACGAUGUAGACUUGGCGUUGGUGGUGUUAAAUCCAUCAGUGCCGUAGCUAACGCGU
rnacentral:rRNA from 1 species